UACGGAGGAUGCAAGCGUUAUCCGGAAUGAUUGGGCGUAAAGCGUCCGCAGGUGGCUAUGUAAGUCUGCUGUUAAAGAGUGAGGCUCAACCUCAUAAGAGCAGUGGAAACUACAUGGCUAGAGUGCGUUCGGGGCAGAGGGAAUUCCUGGUGUAGCGGUGAAAUGCGUAGAUAUCUGGAGGAACACCGGUGGCGAAGGCGACAUCCUGGACCGGUAUUGACGCUGAGGCGCGAAAGCCAGGGGAGCAAACGGG
rnacentral:rRNA from 1 species